rnacentral:rRNA from 1 species
UACGUAGGGUGCAAGCGUUAAUCGGAAUUACUGGGCGUAAAGCGUGCGCAGGCGGUUGUGUAAGUUUGUCGUGAAAUCCCCGGGCUCAACCUGGGAAUUGCGAUGAAGACUGCACGGCUAGAGUGUGUCAGAGGGGGGUAGAAUUCCACGUGUAGCAGUGAAAUGCGUAGAUAUGUGGAGGAACACCGAUGGCGAAGGCAGCUCGCUGGGACGGUACUGACGCUGAGACGCGAAAGCGUGGGGAGCAAACAGG